UCCUGGCUCAGGAUGAACGCUAGCGACAGGCUUAACACAUGCAAGUCGAGGGGCAGCGGGGGAGUAGCAAUACUCCCGCCGGCGACCGGCGCACGGGUGAGCAACACGUAUGAAACCUGCCCGUAGCAGGGGGAUAAGCGGAAGAAAUUCCGUCUAAUACCGCGUAACAACCCUUGGAGGCAUCUCCUCGGGUUUAAAGGGAGCGAUUCCGGCUACGGAUGGUCAUGCGUCGCAUUAGCUUGUUGGCGGGGUAACGGCCCACCAAGGCGACGAUGCGUAGGGGUUCUGAGAGGAAGGUCCCCCACACUGGUACUGAGACACGGACCAGACUCCUACGGGAGGCAGCAGUGAGGAAUAUUGGUCAAUGGCCGCAGGGCUGAACCAGCCAAGUCGCGUGAGGGAUGACGGUCCUAUGGAUUGUAAACCUCUUUUGUCAGGGAGCAAAGGGCGUCACGUGUGGCGUUUUGCGAGUACCUGAAGAAAAAGCAUCGGCUAACUCCGUGCCAGCAGCCGCGGUAAUACGGAGGAUGCGAGCGUUAUCCGGAUUUAUUGGGUUUAAAGGGUGCGCAGGCGGAAUGUCAAGUCAGCGGUAAAAUUUCGGGGCUCAACCCCGUCGUGCCGUUGAAACUGGCGUUCUUGAGUGAGCGAGAAGUAUGCGGAAUGCGUGGUGUAGCGGUGAAAUGCAUAGAUAUCACGCAGAACUCCGAUUGCGAAGGCAGCAUACCGGCGCUCAACUGACGCUCAUGCACGAAAGCGUGGGUAUCGAACAGGAUUAGAUACCCUGGUAGUCCACGCAGUAAACGAUGAAUACUAACUGUCCGGGCAGAAUGAUGUCUGGGUGGUACAGCGAAAGCGUUAAGUAUUCCACCUGGGGAGUACGCCGGCAACGGUGAAACUCAAAGGAAUUGACGGGGGCCCGCACAAGCGGAGGAACAUGUGGUUUAAUUCGAUGAUACGCGAGGAACCUUACCCGGGCUCAAACGACGGAUGGAUGUUUCUGAAAGGAGGCAGUCCUACGGGACAUCCGUCGAGGUGCUGCAUGGUUGUCGUCAGCUCGUGCCGUGAGGUGUCGGCUUAAGUGCCAUAACGAGCGCAACCCCCAUCGCCAGUUACCAGCAAGUAAAGUUGGGGACUCUGGCGAGACUGCCGGCGCAAGCUGUGAGGAAGGCGGGGAUGACGUCAAAUCAGCACGGCCCUUACGUCCGGGGCAACACACGUGUUACAAUGGCAGGUACAGAGAGAUGCGACACGGCGACGUGGAGCGGAACUUCAAAACCUGUCUCAGUUCGGAUCGGAGUCUGCAACCCGACUCCGUGAAGCUGGAUUCGCUAGUAAUCGCGCAUCAGCCAUGGCGCGGUGAAUACGUUCCCGGGCCUUGCACACACCGCCCGUCA
rnacentral:rRNA from 1 species